rnacentral:rRNA from 1 species
AACGAACGCUGGUGGCGUGUUUUAUACAUGCAAGUCGAGCGAGGACAGUAGCUUGCUACUGAGCCGAGCGGCGAACGGGUGAGUAACGCGUAAGCAAUCUGCCCCACAAUCGGGAACAACCGUGCCAACGCGCGGCUAAUGCCGGAUAUUGUGUCCUACUGCAUAGUAGGUUAACGAAAGAUUUAUCGUUGUGGGAUGAGCUUGCGUCCGAUUAGCUAGUUGCGGGGUAAUAGCCCACCAAGGCGGCGAUCGGUAGCCGGCCUGAGAGGGUGAUCGGCCACAUUGGGACUGAGAUACGGCCCAGACUCCUACGGGAGGCAGCAGUAGGGAAUAUUGCGCAAUGGGGGGAACCCUGACGCAGCAACGCCACGUGUGGGAAGAAGCAUUUCGGUGUGUAAACCACUGUCGGAAAGGAAUAACGGAAGACUUCGGUCUUUAUGAAUGUACUUUUAGAGGAAGCACCGGCAAACUUCGUGCCAGCAGCCGCGGUAAUCAUACUACG